CGCUCUUCUUGCCCAGGCUGGAGUGCAAUGGCGCGAUCUCCGCUCACCGAAACCUCCGUCUCCUGGGUUCAAGCGAUUCUUCUGCCUCAACCUCCCCAGUAGCUAGGAUUACAGGCUUGCGCCACCAUACCCGGCUAAUUUUGUAUUUUUAGGAGAGAUGGGGUUUCUCUGUGUUGGUCAGGCUGGUCUCAAACUCCCGACCUCAAGUGAUCCACCCGCCUUGGCCUCCCAAGGUGCUGGGAUUACAGGUGUGAGCCACUGCGCCUGGCCUGACGUUUUUUUUUUUUUUUUUAAAGCAACGAGUUCCUUUGUUACUGCUUUUUAAAAAUAGAAUAGCUUGCCAUUUGAGAAUUUAUUAUUUUUAUUUAUUUUUUUAGAGACGGGGUUUUGCCAUGUUGCUCAGGUUGGUCUGAAACUCCUGGCCUCAAGUGAUCCUCCCACCUUAGCCCCCCAAAGCACUGGGAUUACAGGCCUGAGCCACUGCACCCAGCAAGGUCCUUUGUUCAAAGAAAAUCUUAUUCAGAAGCCUAAUGUGUAAGAGAUCAAGGUGGGCCUUGUUUUGGUUUAAGUGAGGACAGCCUGGGCACUGCAGUCUAUUCCUUCACAUCUCUCUCAUGCAGCCUCCCUAACAGCCACAUAGUCCCUUCGAAGACUUCUAAUGAACCCACAUUUCAGAUCUUGUUCAUUCGUCCCAGCCACUACCUACCUCUCAGCAGCCUGUGACAAAGCAGCCUGGCUUUGUGCUCAGUUACCUCUGCCUGUUCAUUAGUAUCCUUCAGCAGCUUUUCUUCCUCCGCCCAUUACCUAAAUGUUGGUGACAUCCAAACGUAUCUCCUCUCUUGCCUUCCUCAUUCUCACUUCAAGGCUCAUUGCUUCUGUCUAACUAAGUCCUAAACUGACAUCUCCAGACCAGUAUCUGCCCUGCACAUCAGACUCCAGACUUCCACUGGAUGCUGGCCACAGAAAAUUUUUUAUUAAAAAUACAUUUUUUCACAGAAGAAAAUUCAUUAAAAGUCAAGAAAGAGCCCCCAGAUGAAAUGGCUGACCUUUACUCAGGUGCACAUCUGGCCAGUCUUGAGGCUUUAAGACAAACUACGCAGCAGCAUUAGAGAAGUAGUAGAUUAUAAUGUGCGGGGAGGGGAGACGGACGUGAGCCUGGAGUCUGAGAGGGGCACUGUACCGUUUUUUCCAACACCCCCAGCUAGGAUUCUAGUGGAGUUAGCUAUGUCCACCAUGGCCUUAGCCUGAAAAAUAUGGGCAUUUAAGACUUCAGCAGGCCACAUUUAGCUCAAACAGGAGGAUUUUAUGACAGCCAAGGUAAAGAAGGGAGAUUUAAACAUUGUAACAGGUUUCAAGGUGCUAGAUUUUUUUUCCCCCAAGAAAACAUCUCCAAGUAAAAGUGAUAUAUUUCUAUUUGUGGAGAAGAUCCUAGUCUUCUCUGUAGUCAAUUAUGAACAGUGCAGUCUAGAACACUUGAUAUUCACAAGUGUUGUGUAAAGGUAACUAUAGGGCGGAUACCUCCUAAGAGAAAAAGAUGGUUCCCAGGCUGAUGGGCAUUUCCAUUCCUGCCCUUGGUAGGCUCACAGUGGUUUGUGGGAGUAACCAAGGCCAGAGAGAAAUCUAAGGACUAGGUUGGGAGCUAUAGGACCCUUGGUCUGUUCAUGCUUUGCCUCUGAGAAACCCUGUAGACCCCACAUUAAGAAACAGGGAAACUUUAAAGGCCUAUAGGCUGGUCUUGGAGAUGACAGAGACCUGACCUGCUUUUCCUCCAAUUGGAAGGCCAAGGGGGAAGAGAACUGAGGGAAGCUAGGGAAGUAGCAGCAGCUUGAAAGAAGAGACUCUGAAAACACACUAAAACUGGAGAGGCUGGGUGUGGUGGCCCAUGCCUGUAAUCCUCUCACUUUGGGAGGCCGAGGCAGGAGGAUUGCUUGAGGCUGGAGUUCGAGACCAGCCUGGGCAACAUAGUGAGAUCCUGUCUCUAGAGAGAGAGAGAGAAAAAAAAAAAAAGCUGGGUUCCUGCUUGAGCCCAGUUGUUGAGACUGCAGUGAGCCAUGAUCAUGCCACUCCCCUCUAACCUAGGCAACAGAGUGAGACUCUGUCUCUGAAAGUAAAAAAAAUGAAAAGUGGGGAGUGCUAGUGGGAGCCAACUCAACCCAAGUAAAGGCCUAAUAGCUCCUCUAUGGGUGUUUGCACUGUCUAACAAAGAACUGGACCCUGACAGUCAGAGGACCCAUGGUAGGAUCAUCUAGUGUAGCCCCUUCUUUUACAGAGGGAACCUAGGACUUGGGUUUGGUUCAGUGGUAAGACCUCAAAACCACAAAAGAGCUGGGUCACUCUAGAGAAGCUUUUCUACUUGGCCAAUGCCUCUUGGCCCAAUUCCCUCUAGGUCUCUGAUUUAUAAAAGUUUUUGUAUGUGUGUCUGUCUGUCCCAAGAGACAGGAAGCAUUCCUUUCAGGGAAGGAACCAAAUUUCCCUAGGGCUAUGAUGCUAAAUAGUCCAUUCUCCCAAGAACAAGUCCUACUCUGUCAUUUACCUGCAUACUGUCACAUGAAGACUGAUAAGGGUGGGCCUCCGAGGCUGAGGAUGCUGGGGCACCCUUCGUCUCAGGAGUCCCAUCCUAGCCAAUGAGGAUGGGCAAGAUGAAGGGAGCAAUGGGAAAAAGGACACAGGGAUUAUCUCAUGUUUGAAAAAUUAUAUAGCAUGGGAAUGUUAGAGAAAGGUGAAACAAACAGCCAUCAAAUCAGAAGCAGAAGCCUGCUUUAGCUCAGUGUUUUCUUCUUUCCUGAACACUGUCUUUCUUUUUUAUUUAUUUAUUUUUUUUGAGAUGGAGUUUUACUCUUGUUGCCCAGGCUAGAGUGCAAUGGCGCGAUCUCGGCUCAUUGCAACCUCUGCCUCCCAGAUUCAAGUGAUUCUCCCAUUUCAGCCUCCCGAGUAGCUGGGAUUACAAGCACAUACCACCACACCCGGGUAAUUUUUAUAUUUUUAGUAGAGAUGGGGUUUCAUCAUAUUGGUCAGGCUGGUCUCAAACUCCUGACCUCAGGUGAUCUGCCCACCUCGGCCUUCCAAAGUACUGGGAUUACAGGCAUAAAGCCACUGCACUUGGACCCUGAGCAUUUUCUCUUGCUUUGUUCACUAAGUCUCCUGUAUGAGAACCCUGACUUGCCAAACAGAUUCUGGGUUGCGUCUCUGCCUUCCCUUUCCUUUACCUCCUCCUUUAACACCUAACACAGGUAGGUUCACGCUGGUAAAAGCUACAAACAAUGGCAGUGGGAGGAGUUCCUCUGAGUUUUACUGAAAAUUUAGGAGACAUCAAUUUGUUAACUCUCUAUAGGGUCAGAAACAUGAACUAAAUCUAUGGUUCCCAAACCUGGAUAAUCCUGUCACUCACUAACAACCUACUGGAUGGGCCCAGAAAUCAGCAUUUUAUGGAGCUGAAGUGAUAGAUAACCUCACCAGUCUUCAGAUAUGCAAUGAGGAACUCAUGCAUAACCUUAAAUUCACAGGGCAGUCGGGUUACAGCCUCUUCAAAUAAAUGACAAUUUAAAGUUACCUCCUCCAGGCCGUUUAUCAUUAAUCCCAUUUCUUACAUGUUCCACCAAACCCCUGACCUCUCUGGUUUCUCAGAUUUCCAAGAAUCUCUGUUCACUUCUUAUGUUUGUGCACUCCCAAGAGAAUGGAGGCUCAUCUGGAGAAGGAACUAGAUUAAUCUUCUGCUCUACACUUGAGCUCCUGAUUAUGGUAAGAAACUCGAUAAAAAUUUAUUGGCAGAUCAGAAGAUGGAUCCUUAGAGGAAGUCUAGUGUAAGAGGUGAAAGAAGAUACUUUGGAGUCAGAUGGUCUGGGAUCCUGGCUGUAGCAAAUUAACAUUCCUGUCUCUCAAUUUUUUUCUUCUGUCAAUACCUACCUCAAAAGGUUGUUGAGGGUGAAUGAGAUGAUACCUAGAAAUUACUCUGAACAGUGCCUGGAAUAGAGUGAGCAUCCAGUAAAUUGGCUGCUAUGACUAUUAUUAAGAACACCCCAAUAUUUCCCAGCCACAACUGCCCCAACUGGGCAGGCCAUCAACAGCCAACAGAUAUGGAGUCUCCUGGGGAGAAUGAUAACCCCUUUGGUACGCUGCAGACAUGAGGACCCUACAUCAGGAGGUCCUAGCUAGGACAGUCAGUCACCAACCCUGUCACCCUUCGCGUCUACUACAUGAAGCAUGGGCACAAGAACAACAACCUGGAAUUUAAGAACUUUUUUUACUCUGAAAGGAGAGCUAAACAAACCUCUGUUCUCCAAACACAAGAUCUCCAUCUUCCAUGCAGUGAAGAGACCACAGGCUUUGUAAGCAGACCAACUUGAGCUCGUUUUAGAGCAAAUCACUGUAACCCUCUGGACCUCACCUUCCUCAUCUAUAUAGAAAUGAGAAAGGGGUGCACAGGAGAAGGGAGAGAAGAUAAUAUCUCACUGAAUUGUUGUGAGGUUUGAAUGAGGCAGGGUGGGGGAAAAGCACCUAGCAUAGUGCUUAGCACAUCUCAAGCACUGAACUGGUGCUGGUCCCUCUGUCCAGAGAUAGGGCCAUGGCCUACAGACAAGGUGAACUCAUAGUGUCAGAACUCAAAGUCUCAGAUACUGAAGGCUUGGGUCCCUCCCUGCCUCCCUCAUCCCUCCCAGACCAGCUCCUGGACCCCCUCCCUCAUGUCCCAGG
rnacentral:lncRNA from 1 species